rnacentral:rRNA from 1 species
UACGAGGUGGGCAAGCGUUGUCCGGAUUCAUUGGGCGUAAAGAGCUCGUAGGCGGCUUGGCAAGUCGGGUGUGAAAACUUCAGGCUCAACCUGGAGCGGCCACUCGAUACUGCCAUGGCUUGAGUCCGGUAGGGGACCACGGAAUUCCUGGUGUAGCGGUGAAAUGCGCAGAUAUCAGGAGGAACACCGGUGGCGAAGGCGGUGGUCUGGGCUGGAACUGACGCUGAGGAGCGAAAGCGUGGGGAGCGAACAGG